rnacentral:rRNA from 1 species
ACUCCUACGGGAGGCAGCAGUGGGGAAUAUUGCACAAUGGGCGCAAGCCUGAUGCAGCAACGCCGCGUGAGGGACGACGGCCUUCGGGUUGUAAACCUCUUUUAGCAGGGAAGAAGCCUUCGGGUGACGGUACCUGCAGAAAAAGCGCCGGCUAACUACGUGCCAGCAGCCGCGGUAAUACGUAGGGCGCAAGCGUUAUCCGGAAUUAUUGGGCGUAAAGAGCUCGUAGGCGGUCUGUCGCGUCUGCUGUGAAAACCCGAGGCUCAACCUCGGGCCUGCAGUGGGUACGGGCAGACUAGAGUGCGGUAGGGGAGAUUGGAAUUCCUGGUGUAGCGGUGGAAUGCGCAGAUAUCAGGAGGAACACCGAUGGCGAAGGCAGAUCUCUGGGCCGUAACUGACGCUGAGGAGCGAAAGGGUGGGGAGCAAACAGGCUUAGAUACCC